rnacentral:rRNA from 1 species
GAUGAACGCUGGCGGCGUGCUUAACACAUGCAAGUCGAACGAAGCACCUUGAUUUGAUUCUUCGGAUGAAGAUCUUGGUGACUGAGUGGCGGACAGGUGAGUAACGCGUGGGUAACCUGCCUCAUACAGGGGGAUAACAGUUAGAAAUGACUGCUAAUACCGCAUAAGACCACAGUACCGCAUGGUACAGGGGUAAAAACUCCGGUGGUAUGAGAUGGACCCGCGUCUGAUUAGGUAGUUGGUGGGGUAACGGCCUACCAAGCCGACGAUCAGUAGCCGACCUGAGAGGGUGACCGGCCACAUUGGGACUGAGACACGGCCCAAACUCCUACGGGAGGCAGCAGUGGGGAAUAUUGCACAAUGGGGGAAACCUUGAUGCAGCGACGCCGCGUGAGCGAUGAAGUAUUUCGGUAUGUAAAGCUCUAUCAGCAGGGAAGAAAAUGACGGUACCUGACUAAGAAGCACCGGCUAAAUACGUGCCAGCAGCCGCAGUAA